CGCCCCAUCCACAGACCACAUCUGACCUCUGGGGCCCUAGCUGUCUAAGCCCCUGGCUUUCCCUGGCCUUCCCACCGUGGCAACAUGCCCAGUGCUGUAGGAGAAACAUUUGCUUUUGCAAGAAGUGGCCACAGGCGUGGAAGAAAGUUCUAGCCAGGACCCGGACCAGAUAAAGGCCCAUGUCCAGGUGGUUGAAGAAGUUUUGAUCUUGAGGAAGAAGGGUGGCCUGAGGCUGGAGAAGAUGCAGGAACAUCAGCAGAGCAGUCACCCUAAGGGGGUGGCCCUGCAGGGGAGGCAGUGGUGUCUCACCUCGCCCUGCUGUGCCCCUGCAGGAGGAGUAGGAGCUGGGGCAGGGCUGCGGGUGUGCCUGGCACUUCCAGGGUGAGGGGUUUGGAGUCUGACCCAGGAGCCUCUGCCCAGCUCCUGCACAGGGGAGUGCCGGAGGGGUAGGGGAGUCCCCACCUGCCCAAGCGGAACAACCUUAGAGAGGCCAUUAGACAGUGAGUGUACGCUGGAGUCCAUUUUGUUUUAAAAAUGCUCAUACUUCUCCGCUCAGCACGUCCACGGGACCGGCUGCAGCGGUGGUCUCUGGGAAGGGGAGCUGGGGCAAGUGGCCGGUGGGGACACUGGCUCUUCACUGAGCACCUUUCCUGCUGUUCGGCUCACUUGCUGUGCACGGAUUUCACAGAAGACACUGCCUCACUGAAAACACGUGUGCAGCCGCUGGGCACAGACCAACUGCAGUUAUCUCAUCUCCUUGCUUAUCCUUCAGGAAUGAAAGCUCCCAGGAAGGAGGCCCUCGCCUCUACCAUUAACCGCUUUCCCCCAGACACUUCCCAGCACACACCACCAGCACUGAUGGCCUGUGGGGCUGAUACCACCUGAUGGGAGCCCGGGGCAGAAAGCUCUCCAAAAUGCACUGGGAUACCCUGGUCCUGCCUCUGACUGCUGUGGGCUGUGUUCUGGGCACGCCCCUCUUGCAGCCGAGGAGUCCGGAUGGCAGUGCCUGAUGUGAGGACCGAGAGGGCAGUGCUCACCGCCUUGGACCUGCUGACAGACCAACGGGCGGCUUGCCGCUGGUAAAAAAAAAUCAUCCCAGACUGUGGGCAGUGCUGCUGGUGUGGCUGUGGACAAGCAGCUGCUCAUUCCACGGUGGCUCGUGGUCUGUUACUUGGGACGGUGGCAAUGCUUAAAAAGCCACCAUCUGCCCCCUCACCUGGGAGCCUCUCCUGAGAACCAUUGCUGGUGGGAGAGGCUGUGCACCUGGCUCAGGGUCAGAGAAGGAGAGUCUCCUCUCGCAGGUGGAUCAUGUGCUGGCCCAGUGCUGCAGGCAGGUGCUGACGAGGAAGGAAGGGCCGGCACCCAGGCCCGACCUCACACACCACCAGAAACACUGAACCAGGAUGGUGUGCAUGGGCGGGGUGUGACAUCUGUGCGCAUCCCCGCAAGACGUGCUGCCACAGGCAGAAUCCACGACUGCAUCUGGCUGCAUAGAUAAAGGACUCCUGCAGCUCCAGGAAUGUGGGAGUCACAUACGUGACCACGGAGUCCAUAUGCCUGCCAGGAAGAGAAAGAUCCAGACGGCUGCAGAGGGUAGAGGGCUGGAAGAGGCCCUGCGCAGAAGAGACACAGCUGCCGGUGAAAUAAGCGAACACAUUCAACCUCUCCGAACAUCGAGGGGAUGCAAACUAAAACAAAACUGUCACACUGGCAAAAACUGACCAAAAAGUUGUCAGUUUUUAUGAAUUGAUAUAUCCGGCGCUGAUGAAGUGCAGGAGAUGGGGGCUGGGACUCACUGGCAGCAGGGUUAGACCAUCACGGUUUCUGGAGGAUGAGCUGGUCACAGACAAGCCAAAUCUAACAUACCCCUUGGCUCAGAAGUCUCACUUUUCAAGUUUUUCUCUAAGAAACGGGACAAGGAGACACAGGUACACUGGGGAGAUUCAUUGCAGUUUUGUUUAGAAGAGUGAAAACCUGGAAGCCACGUAAAUGUCCCUCAAGAAUGGAUUUGCUAAACAGUGACACAGCCAGCUCUACAGAACUCCAGGCACCUCUUCUAAAUUCCUGCUGUCAACCUAUCAUCACUGGCAUAGAAAGAAGUGCACACGUAUUCUCUUUAAAAAGACCCCAGAAGCACCCCAAGUGUCCACUGGUGGAUGAGUAGAAAAAACAUGUGGUCCAUACAUACAAUGCAAUAUUAUUCAGCC